rnacentral:rRNA from 1 species
AUUGAACGCUGGCGGCAGGCUUAACACAUGCAAGUCGAACGAGUGGCGGACGGGUGAGUAAUGCUUGGAAAUCUAGCUUAUGGAGGGGGAUAACUACGGGAAACUGUAGCUAAUACCGCGUACCAUAGGAUGAGCCCAAGUGGGAUUAGGGAGUUGGUGAGGUAAAGGCUCUCCAAGCCGACUAUCUCUAGCUGUUCUGAGAGGAUGACCAGCUAUACUGGGACUGAGCGACGGCCCCAAAUCCUACGGUAGUCAGCAGUGGGGAAUAUUGCGCAAUGGGGGCAACCCUGACGCAGCCAUGCCGCGUGUAUGAAGAAGGCCCUCGGGUUGUAAAGUACUUUCAGUCGGGAGGCGUUACCGACAGAAGAAGCACCGGCUAACUCCGUGCCAGCAGCCGCGGUAAUUC